UGGAAGUCUGACUAGACAGACAGAAAACACUCUGGCCUUGUGAAAAAUGGGAAACCAUCCAUCGAUUCAUUCAUUCCUGCAACAGACAGCUAGAAAUCUGGGCCGACUAAUGCAAGCUGCCCCCUGGAAUGUCUGGGGCAGCCUCACAAGGUUACAUUCCAGGCUCCAAGCGAAAAUGCCAGCAAUUUUCCUUUUGUCAACAGCAAAUUAAAGUAAUUUCCACGCAGAGGGUUUCUCCUGCUGGCGCAAUAUAGGCAGGACGGGAAGAGGUGACUCCUGUGGCUCCCUCCUGGUCACUAUCUCCAUCACAAACAAGUCUGCAAGCAAAGAAAUCCAAGCAGAACAACCGCGGAGGCAGAAAAGAACCCCUGCUGGGUGUUUGGCUUCACAAAGCCUGAGCACACCUGGAGGAGGUAUGACGUCCCCCCAGGGAAGCUCCCAGGAGUCAGCUCACCAUCCCCCACGGCCUCAGAGGAGAGGAGUUGGGAACAGGCAAAGCCACCAGCUGUGGGAAGGAACCAGGCAUAAUAAACCCAAUAAACGGCAUCCAAGAGUAAGGGACUGGGGAGGAGUUCUUAAAAAUUACAGGAGUAACACAUGCUUACUAUAAAACACUGAAGUAUUACAGAGAAAUAUGGAAGCAAAAUUCCAUCCUCUUGUCCCGCCAUCAAUGUAAAAUUGAUUUUUUUAGAGCUAUAUAUGUGCAAAACACUCAUGAGGUGUUUAUAUAUAAUAACAAAAGGGCAGUUAUUUGUUUUAUCCUGUAGAUUACUUGCUCUUUUUCUUCACUCAGUAAUAUAUUAAUGGGUAUGUUUUCAUAUCAGGAUACUUAAUAUCUGUAGUUUAAGAAAUACUUAACAAAACUUCUUUCCAUUAGUUUUUUCCUGAUUCUAAAAGCAGUGCACAUCUAAGUUAGGAAAGCCAAAUCUCUGUUUGACCAUGUGGGAUCCGUGUUCAUAAAGGGCCAAAUGCCCUCUCAUGGCUGAGAGGUCCCCCUCGCAGGGAACAGAUUAGUCAUGGCAUGAAGAACAGUCCAGCAGAGCCAGAAUGGUGGCCUACACCACUAGUGACAGCUUCUCAGAAGGCAGAGACAAGAGGAUUGCAAGCAUGAGGCCAGCCUGGGGACGGGCCAUAGCUCAAUGGCAGAGCACCCACGUCUCCAUUCACUCCUGGGCUUUGUCUCUCUCACACAUGCCCGUUUGCCUUUGUGCUUUCCUCAAUAAUCUGAAGCAGCAUGAGGCCAUCUCCAGAAGCAGAAAAGAUUCAGUGCCAUGUUUUGAGA